rnacentral:tRNA from 1 species
GGUGAGGUGGCAGAGUCUGGUUUAUUGCACUUGACUUGAAAUCAAACGUCGGUGGUAACAUCGGCCGUGGGUUCGAAUCCCACCCUCACCGCCA